GACGAACCGUGCGAACGUUAUUCGGAAUCACUGGGCUUAAAGGGCGCGUAGGCGGCGGCGUAAGUUGGAAGUGAAAUCCCAUCGGCUCAACCGUGGAAUUGCUCCCAGUACUGCGUCGCUCGAGGUGGAUAGGGGCCUGCGGAACUACCGGUGGAGCGGUGAAAUGUGUUGAUAUCGGUGGGAACGCCAGUGGCGAAAGCGGCAGGCUAGACCUUUUCUGACGCUGAGUGCGCGAAAGCUAGGGGAGCAA
rnacentral:rRNA from 1 species